AAUAAGGUGGCCGAGGAUUAGGCGUUAGAUUGUAAAUCUAAAAACAAGCUAUUGCUUUCUUAUUA
rnacentral:tRNA from 1 species